rnacentral:rRNA from 1 species
UGCCAGCCGCCGCGGUAAUACGGAGGGUGCGAGCGUUGUCCGGAUUUAUUGGGUUUAAAGGGUCCGUAAGCGGUCUGAUAAGUCAGAGGUGAAAUCCUGCAGCUCAACUGUAGCAUUGCCUUUGAUACUGUUAGACUUGAGUUAUUGUGAAGUAGUUAGAAUGUGUAGUGUAGCGGUGAAAUGCAUAGAUAUUACACAGAAUACCGAUUGCGAAGGCAGAUUACUAACAAUAUACUGACGCUGAGGGACGAAAGCGUGGGUAGCGAACAGGAUUAGAUA